UUUUACAUUAUGUAAUGCUUAUCACUGUAAAAAAGUGUGCUGUUAAAUAUCAAUAAUUUACUGCACUGAAUAAAAGCAAUAUGUAAGAUUUACUUAAUUUUUACUUAAUUUACUUAAAUUUUGCACUCAUGUAUUUUAAGUAAAAUUUAAGCAUUGAAUUAAAUUUGCUCACUCAAUAAAAUAAAUAGCUAAAUGAGCACAGAGACCUCAAUACAUGGUACACCAUACACAAUGAUGGUAACAAUCAGUGAAUAGUGUUUGAGUAUGAAUGGGUCAUUUUGAGUAGAAAAUAAACCUCAGAUGUCACAAAAAAGUAUGUUUCUAAACCUAACAUAAAAAGCAACCAAAAAAAUGUAAAUACAACUCGAAAUCAGUGAGAAAUGUAACAUUUUUUAUUAUUCAUGCCCCAGUGCAAGAUGGGAAAUAUGGGAUCAUAACUUUGAUAUUUACUCAAAGAAUCCUUGUAAAUGUGACCGAGUGAAUAAGGAUUCAGGGGUGGGCCAUGUAUAUUUUGCUCUAUAAAUAGCGCAAAGGUUAGUAGACGGCGUAACUUCCUGAAGCUUUGACCUUCUCCGUCUCCUUCCGGUAUUGUGAUCCCGAAGCACCAUAGAGAGCCCAGGGAGGAAAUCCUCAAUUCAAGAGCGUGAGCGUGUGGGCAAUUUAAUGGGGUUAGUGUGAGUGUUGGACGCCAUGUUUAACCUAUAGCAACGAGCUGGAUCACCCAGUCUAUAUUUAAUUCUUGGAUGACGGCAGAGAUCUUUCUUCGGGGAGUCCUAUUCAUAUGGACUUCUGACAUUUAGGCCCUGCUGUUUUGUUUAUGAUUUAUUUUUGUUAUAUAAUGUUGUUCUCUUUUUGUAAUUUAUUUUAUUAUUUGAGUUUGGUUUAGACCAACCGCUGGAGUUUAUGUGAUGCGUAAAAAGUUUGAAUUCAUAUGUUCAUAUGUCUUAGGAGCCAGCCUGUGUGGGAGUUCUUUCCUCCGGGGUCAUGGACCUUUACUUCACUCAUGUGGCGUGAGAUUUCCUGCACUGCAUGGUUGG
rnacentral:lncRNA from 1 species